rnacentral:rRNA from 1 species
UGGGAACGUGCCCUUUGGUUCGGAACAACUCCGGGAAACUGGAGCUAAUACCGGAUAAGCCCUUCGGGGGAAAGAUUUAUCGCCAAAGGAUCGGCCCGCGUCUGAUUAGCUUGUUGGUGAGAUAAUGGCUCACCAAGGCGACGAUCAGUAGCUGGUCUGAGAGGAUGAUCAGCCACACUGGGACUGAGACACGGCCCAGACUCCUACGGGAGGCAG